rnacentral:rRNA from 1 species
AGAGUUUGAUCCUGGCUCAGAGUGAACGCUGGCGGCGUGGAUUAGGCAUGCAAGUCGAGCGAUGCCGAGUAAUCGGCAUAGCGGCAGACUGGUGAGUAACGCGUGAGUAAUUUACCUAUACACCGAGAAUAGCCUUGCGAAAGUAAGGGUAAUACUUGAUGUGUUAACAAAAGCAUAAGCUUUUGUUAGUAAAGGUUUCCGUAAGGAUUCCGUGUAUAGAUGAGCUCGCGUCCUAUCAGCUUGUUGGUGAGGUAACGGCCCACCAAGGCAUUUGACGGGUAGCUGGCCUGAGAGGGUGGUCAGCCACAUGGGGACUGAGACACUGCCCCGACUCCUACGGGAGGCUGCAGUCGAGGAUCUUUAGCAAUGGGCGAAAGCCUGACUAUGCGACGCCGCGUGAGGGAUGAAGGUUUUCGGAUCGUAAACCUCUUUCGAUGGGAAAGAAGGGCCGAGCAACCGGUCUUGACGGUACCCAGAGAAGAAGCCACGGCCAACUCCGUGCCAGCAGCCGCGGUAAUACGGAGGUGGCAAGCGUUACUCGGAUUCAUUGGGUGUAAAGGGCAGGUAGGCGGCUAUGUAAGUUGAGGGUGAAAUCCUUUGGCUCAACCAAAGAACUGCCUUCAAAACUACAUAGCUUGAGAUUGGGAGAGGAGAACGGAAUUCCCGGUGUAGGGGUGAAAUCUGUAGAUAUCGGGAGGAACACCAGUGGCGAAGGCGGUUCUCUGGUCCAACUCUGACGCUGAACUGCGAAAGCUAGGGUAGCAAACAGGAUUAGAUACCCUGGUAGUCCUAGCCGUAAACGAUGAGCACUAGGUGUUUGGGUGAAUAACCUGAGCGCCGCAAGAUAACUCGUUAAGUGCUCCACCUGGGGACUACGGCCGCAAGGCUAAAACUCAAAGGAAUUGACGGGGGUCCGCACAAGCGGUGGAACAUGUGGUUUAAUUCGACGCUACGCGAAGAACCUCACCAGGACUUGACUCGCUAUCAGUAACCCGGCCGAAAGGUUGGGUGACCGUAAAAUCGGAGGAUAGUACAGGUGUUGCAUGGCUGUCGUCAGCUCGUGUCGUGAGAUGUUGGGUUAAGUCCCGCAACGAGCGCAACCAUCGUCCUUAGUUGCCAUCAGAAUCUGAUUCGUCAGAUUGCUGGGCACUCUAGGGAGACUGCCUGUGAUAAGCAGGAGGAAGGUGGAGAUGACGUCAAGUCAGUACGGCCUUUAUGUCCUGGGCCACACACGUGUUACAAUGUUCACUACAAAGCGUUGCCAAACCGCGAGGUGGAGCUAAUCGCAAAAAAGUGAACUCAGUUCGGAUUGGAGUCUGCAACCCGACUCUAUGAAGCUGGAAUCGCUAGUAACGGUGGAUCAGCUACGCCACCGUGAAUACGUUCCCGGACCUUGUACACACCGCCCGUCAAGCGAUGGGAGUUUUGAACACCCGAAGUCCUACUUUAUGUAGGCCGAAGGUGGGCAGGAUGACUGGCGCUAAGUCGUAACAAGGUA